rfam:Chlorocebus sabaeus isolate 1994-021 chromosome 20, whole genome shotgun sequence.
AGGUGAUCUGGCUUUGAUCUGCCACUCGUUUGUCAGCAGAGUUGGUUAGCUCACUUGGCUAGUUGAGAAGGUGGCCCUUCCUCCAUGUGUGGUCUUCCUCAAGCCCCAUGCUAAGGCAAAGAAGUUGACCUAAGCUCUGUCUUCCAUAGGUCAAAGGUACCUGAAUAGUUGAGUUAUUUCAAUAGAAACUCUGAAUAUGGAAUUACAGUUUGAAGCAGCCAAAAUAUCCAUUUUUAUAGCUGGGAAGGGACUCUAACAGGCAGAACGUGUUGUCAUGGAGAAGCCAGUGUUU